CUUUUGUUAAAAUUAUUUUUGUUUGAUUUAUAAUGACUUCUGAAAGAAUGAUAUUGAGUGACCCAGACUAUCAAUAAAGAUAAUUAUUUUUUUAAAAACUGCAGCGGUGGUUUUGCCCCGCCCACAUUGUUGCUACGGUUUCCUCUGGAAUCUGUUGUACUGCUUAUAAACACCUGUGGUUCCAUUUUUAGCAUGAGGAUUCCAUCCAGAAUGUCUACACAAGGUAAAUGCAUGUAUCUAAGGGAAUCAGAUGUUACUAUGUUUUUUCUUUGUGGCCAGCAACCCCUGUCUCCCUCCCCAAAAGAAGUUACAAGGUCUGAGUAUUUUUAUUCUGGAAAAAUACCAAGAUUGUCAGUGUUCUUCUGUUGGGUCAGAGGAGAAGACAUGACUGGGAAAGGACAUCAGCAGGACGUGUCAUGGCCCCAUCAGCCACAAGUACCACCUGGAAGUGGAACAUGUCUCCACACCUAUGACAUUCUGAUGCUAAUCACGGCAAGGCCCCAGCAGCCUCUUGAAGCGCCACGGAGCAAUCCAUGUUCAACUGUGACCAGAAUUCCAAACGUAGAAAGUAAAAGGUAAUGUUUCCAAAUAACUCAUCAAGAAAUGUUUUCACACGAGCACAGGCCAAUUUGAGCAUCUCUUAAAGAUGUGACAUUGCAGUUACGUUCAUUCCUGUUCUUCCUUCCUUUCUCCCUUCUUGUACUGGUUUGCACAUUCCUGUGAUUCUUGGCAUUAAUAUUCAUUGCUGAUAUUACAAAAUCUGAUUUUCAUAUAUUGAAGAAAAUAUGGCGGUUGCCUUCAAAGGACUCAUAGGUGAAUUGAAACAGUGGCAGAGGACCUAGGGCCUGGGCGUCAGAAUUGGCGCACCUGUUUUUGAAUGGCCUGUGAGCUAUGGAUGCAUUUACAUUUUUAAAAAAUUUUUUUUAAUGUUUAUUUAUUUUUCAGACAGAGAGAGACAGAGCAUGAACGGGGGACAGUCAGAGAGAGAGGGAGACAGAGAAUCCGAAGCAGGCUCCAGGCUCUGAGCUGUCAGCACAGAGCCUGACACGGGGUUCAAACUCAACGAAUGGCGAGAUCAUGACCUGAGCCGAAGUCGGACGCUGAACCGACUGAGCCACCCAGGCGCCCCUGCAUUUACAUUUUUAAAUGAUUGUGGGAAGGGCACCCCGGUGGCUCAGCUGGUUAAGCAUCUGACUCUUUUUUUCAGCUCAGGUCAUGAUCCCAGGGUCUUAGGAUCAAGCCCCAAUUGGGGCUUCAUGCUGAGUAUGGAGCCUGCUCAAGAUUCUCUCUCUUUCUCUCUCCCUCUGCCCCUCCCCCCAAAUACUAAGCAAAAAUAAAUCAGUGAUUAGGGAGAAAUCA
rnacentral:lncRNA from 1 species